UCGCCGUGCAGGUAUUUGAAUACCAAAUAUAUAGUGCAGGUGUAAGUACAAGUUAUGCUAAUAUAAGACAUGAUAUACAGAAUAAACAGCUGGAGGAAUAAUAUGAAUAUUGUCUAUGUACUAUAGAUCAGAUUCAUGGAAAGAAGUAUGAAUGUGUUUGAGUAUGUGAGAGCAUU